UCCCGCCUCAUCUGAAAAAACCUAGAAAACUAAACCCAUCAUCCCUGAUUUCUUGCCUUUAGCAAACUCGUCGGAGAUGCCCUGAUUUCUUGCCUUUAGCAAACUCGUCGGAGACGCCCAACUAUCGAACGAUCAACUACUGACUGGUGAUAAUGAGAGCACCUCAUCGGAGACACCCAAAAACACUCCAUUGUGUCAGAGUGGUGUAGAGAACGUCAAUGUCUGGAAAUGGAGAAGAGGGGAAAGCCUUGGCUGGGAGCAUUGGUGGUGGUGUCUUUGUUGUUUCAAAAUCUUAGGGUUUCGUUGGUCUCUCAAGAUUGAAGUUUGGCUGCUUUGUUCCAAUUUCAAAGAGAAAGAGAGUGGUGAGAGAAAUGUUUGGGCUUUGGUGAAUUGGGAUAAUGAGAGCUUCAUCUCUGUUCGUGGUUUGAAGUGGAGUGCUCCAAUUGGAAAGCAGC